AUGUUUGUUAUCUGUGAUCCAUACUACAGUUUAUGGAAACCAUCACAAAAUCUGCUUUAUGGGCCACUGGUAUGCAAAACCAAUGCAUAUUAUUAUGUUGAUUGUCAACAACAGGAACCACAUGAUGAAUCCACUGUGAUGGAUCUUAGUGCAACCUCAGUGUUUGAUGUCAGCAUGUCCUCAGAGCCUGCUGUCGAUCCUGCAGACACCAGCUUUGUGCCAUAUUCAAUCCCCUCCACCACCACCACUGGGAGUACCUCAAACCUCACUGGACAACCCAGAGGAUGGAAGGAGAGGAAAUGGAUUGAGCUGCAUAGACGAUGGACGUCACUCCUACAUCACAUCACUGGGGUCCAUCGCUGGGAAGAAAAUGGAACACAAUACAAAUGUUUCCAUCAGGACUUGUCAGCAGGGGACCAAUGAAAGAAGAAAUGGCUAAAAGUUGAUUCCCCUGCCUUCAGAGCCCUGCAAGCAGUGAUUAUGGACAACCGUCUACUAAAAGACCUACAACAGAUGACACUGUUCAAACAUACAGGUAUGUGUAUCAAAGAGUUUGACAUGCAAACUAGUGAUAUGGUUCAAGUCAUGUAUGUGUCAGUAAGAAUAAGUUCUGGGAAACUAAUUUGCAGUAAGUCUGUAUGAGGGGGAAAUGUUACACCAGACAAGACAAAUAGUACAGUCAGUGUAUCCCAUUCAUGACACAAUGCUUCUAAAGAACAGGCGCACAACUCUUUGUCUAAAUGUUUUUCCACUGUAAAGUUUUUGUUUUCUUUUCUUUUCCAGGACAACUUGAGGUGUUCCACAAUGCCCUUUUGAAGUACUGUCCAAAGCAACUUCAAUUUCAAUACCCAGCAAUGAAGGCACGCACUAUGCUAGCCAUUAUGGAUCAUUAUGAGAAUCAUAUGCAAAACCGUUACAUAAUCAUAGCAGUGGGUGUUUACUUAUCAAAAUGGACUGCUUUAAAGAGAGGGUCAAAACAGGAUAAAAAGUAGCCUAUUACUAGCCUAUUAUAAAUUUUUAUAAUUUUAUAUUUCUAUUUUUGUGAUGCAGAAAAAAGUGCAGUAUAUGAAUAUUUUUUGACAAGGGUAAUGAAUAGUAAAUGAAAAUAAGUCAAAGCAUUAAGCUAAACAUUUUUUUGAAUAAAUAAACCAAAAACAAACA
ensembl:lncRNA